rnacentral:lncRNA from 1 species
UAGAAUGAGAUAGAAGAGAAUGAAGAAGAAUGAUGUGGAUCAUGGAAUGGAUGGGAGUACUUGACGUUAGAUCAAGUACUCGCGUUGCUAUGAAGUGAAUUUGAUUUGGAAAACACUUGACAUUAGAUCAAGUAUGCCUUUUGUAUUUUGAAAUGCUUUAUUUUGUUGUUUUUUUUUAUCUUUUUAGCUAGCAUGCAUGAUGAGCUAAUGAAAGAAAUAAACUUAAGCUAUUACACUUGCAUGGUAAGGGGGACAUGUGAC